AUUGAACGCUGGCGGAAUGCUUAACACAUGCAAGUCGAACGGCAGCAGGGGGGUUGCCCUGGUGGUGAGUGGCGGACGGGUGAGUAAUGCAUAGGAACGUGCCCGGUCGUGGGGGAUAACGUCUCGAAAGUUACGCUAAUACCGCAUACGUACUGAGGGUGAAAGUGGGGGACCUUCGGAACUCGCGCGAUCAGAGCGGCCGAUGUCCGAUUGGGUAGGUGGUGGGGUAAAGGCCUACCAAGCCGACGAUCUGUAGCUGGUCUGAGAGGAUGAGUAGCCACACUGAGACUGAGACACGGCCCAGACUCCUACGGGAGGCAGCAGUGGGGAAUUUUGGACAAUGGGCGGAAGCCUGAUCCAGCCAUACCGCGUGUAUGACGAAGGCCUUCUGGUUGUAAACUGCUUUUGUUCGGAACGAAAAGGCGUUGGCUAAUACCUGGAGGUCAUGACGGUACCAUAAGAAUAAGCACCGGCUAACUACGUG
rnacentral:rRNA from 1 species